GAUGAACGCUGGCGGCGUGCCUAAUACAUGCAAGUCGAGCGAACGGACGAGAAGCUUGCUUCUCUGAUGUUAGCGGCGGACGGGUGAGUAACACGUGGAUAACCUACCUAUAAGACUGGGAUAACUUCGGGAAACCGGAGCUAAUACCGGAUAAUAUUUUGAACCGCAUGGUUCAAAAGUGAAAGACGGUCUUGCUGUCACUUAUAGAUGGAUCCGCGCUGCAUUAGCUAGUUGGUAAGGUAACGGCUUACCAAGGCAACGAUGCAUAGCCGACCUGAGAGGGGGAUCGGCCACACUGGAACUGAGACACGGUCCAGACUCCUACGGGAGGCAGCAGUAGGGAAUCUUCCGAAAUGGGCGAAAGCCUGACGGAGCAACGCCGCGUGAGUGAUGAAGGUCUUCGGAUCGUAAAACUCUGUUAUUAGGGAAGAACAUAUGUGUAAGUAACUGUGCACAUCUUGACGGUACCUAAUCAGAAAGCCACGGCUAACUACGU
rnacentral:rRNA from 1 species